rnacentral:rRNA from 1 species
UUAAGUUAUUAAGGGCGCACGGUGGAUGCCUUGGCACUAGAAGCCGAUGAAGGACGUUACUAACGACGAUAUGCUUUGGGGAGCUGUAAGUAAGCUUUGAUCCAGAGAUUUCCGAAUGGGGAAACCCAGCAUGAGUUAUGUCAUGUUAUCGAUAUGUGAAUACAUAGCAUAUCAGAAGGCACACCCGGAGAACUGAAACAUCUUAGUACCCGGAGGAAGAGAAAGAAAAUUCGAUUCCCUUAGUAGCGGCGAGCGAAACGGGAAGAGCCCAAACCAAAAAGCUUGCUUGUUGGGGUUGUAGGACGCUCUAUACGGAGUUACAAAGGACGACAUUAGACGAAUCAUCUGGAAAGAUGAAUCAAAGAAGGUAAUAAUCCUGUAGUCGAAAAUGUUGUCUCUCUUGAGUGGAUCCUGAGUACGACGGAGCACGUGAAAUUCCGUCGGAAUCUGGGAGGACCAUCUCCUAAGGCUAAAUACUCUCUAGUGACCGAUAGUGAACCAGUACCGUGAGGGAAAGGUGAAAAGCACCCCGGAAGGGGAGUGAAAUAGAACCUGAAACCGUGUGCUUACAAGUAGUCAGAGCCCGUUAAUGGGUGAUGGCGUGCCUUUUGUAGAAUGAACCGGCGAGUUACGAUUUGAUGCAAGGUUAAGCAGUAAAUGUGGAGCCGUAGCGAAAGCGAGUCUGAAUAGGGCGUUUAGUAUUUGGUCGUAGACCCGAAACCAGGUGAUCUACCCUUGGUCAGGUUGAAGUUCAGGUAACACUGAAUGGAGGACCGAACCGACUUACGUUGAAAAGUGAGCGGAUGAACUGAGGGUAGCGGAGAAAUUCCAAUCGAACCUGGAGAUAGCUGGUUCUCUCCGAAAUAGCUUUAGGGCUAGCCUCAAGUGAUGAUUAUUGGAGGUAGAGCACUGUUUGGACGAGGGGCCCCUCUCGGGUUACCGAAUUCAGACAAACUCCGAAUGCCAAUUAAUUUAACUUGGGAGUCAGAACAUGGGUGAUAAGGUCCGUGUUCGAAAGGGAAACAGCCCAGACCACCAGCUAAGGUCCCAAAAUAUAUGUUAAGUGGAAAAGGAUGUGGCGUUGCCCAGACAACUAGGAUGUUGGCUUAGAAGCAGCCAUCAUUUAAAGAGUGCGUAAUAGCUCACUAGUCGAGUGACACUGCGCCGAAAAUGUACCGGGGCUAAACAUAUUACCGAAGCUGUGGAUUGUCCUUUGGACAAUGGUAGGAGAGCGUUCUAAGGGCGUUGAAGCAUGAUCGUAAGGACAUGUGGAGCGCUUAGAAGUGAGAAUGCCGGUGUGAGUAGCGAAAGACGGGUGAGAAUCCCGUCCACCGAUUGACUAAGGUUUCCAGAGGAAGGCUCGUCCGCUCUGGGUUAGUCGGGUCCUAAGCUGAGGCCGACAGGCGUAGGCGAUGGAUAACAGGUUGAUAUUCCUGUACCACCUAUAAUCGUUUUAAUCGAUGGGGGGACGCAGUAGGAUAGGCGAAGCGUGCGAUUGGAUUGCACGUCUAAGCAGUAAGGCUGAGUAUUAGGCAAAUCCGGUACUCGUUAAGGCUGAGCUGUGAUGGGGAGAAGACAUUGAGUCUUCGAGUCGUUGAUUUCACACUGCCGAGAAAAGCCUCUAGAUAGAAAAUAGGUGCCCGUACCGCAAACCGACACAGGUAGUCAAGAUGAGAAUUCUAAGGUGAGCGAGCGAACUCUCGUUAAGGAACUCGGCAAAAUGACCCCGUAACUUCGGGAGAAGGGGUGCUCUUUAGGGUUAACGCCCAGAAGAGCCGCAGUGAAUAGGCCCAAGCGACUGUUUAUCAAAAACACAGGUCUCUGCUAAACCGUAAGGUGAUGUAUAGGGGCUGACGCCUGCCCGGUGCUGGAAGGUUAAGAGGAGUGGUUAGCUUCUGCGAAGCUACGAAUCGAAGCCCCAGUAAACGGCGGCCGUAACUAUAACGGUCCUAAGGUAGCGAAAUUCCUUGUCGGGUAAGUUCCGACCCGCACGAAAGGCGUAACGAUUUGGGCACUGUCUCAACGAGAGACUCGGUGAAAUCAUAGUACCUGUGAAGAUGCAGGUUACCCGCGACAGGACGGAAAGACCCCGUGGAGCUUUACUGUAGCCUGAUAUUGAAAUUCGGCACAGCUUGUACAGGAUAGGUAGGAGCCUUUGAAACGUGAGCGCUAGCUUACGUGGAGGCGCUGGUGGGAUACUACCCUAGCUGUGUUGGCUUUCUAACCCGCACCACUUAUCGUGGUGGGAGACAGUGUCAGGCGGGCAGUUUGACUGGGGCGGUCGCCUCCUAAAAGGUAACGGAGGCGCUCAAAGGUUCCCUCAGAAUGGUUGGAAAUCAUUCAUAGAGUGUAAAGGCAUAAGGGAGCUUGACUGCGAGACCUACAAGUCGAGCAGGGUCGAAAGACGGACUUAGUGAUCCGGUGGUUCCGCAUGGAAGGGCCAUCGCUCAACGGAUAAAAGCUACCCCGGGGAUAACAGGCUUAUCUCCCCCAAGAGUUCACAUCGACGGGGAGGUUUGGCACCUCGAUGUCGGCUCAUCGCAUCCUGGGGCUGUAGUCGGUCCCAAGGGUUGGGCUGUUCGCCCAUUAAAGCGGUACGCGAGCUGGGUUCAGAACGUCGUGAGACAGUUCGGUCCCUAUCCGUCGUGGGCGUAGGAAAUUUGAGAGGAGCUGUCCUUAGUACGAGAGGACCGGGAUGGACAUACCUCUGGUGUACCAGUUGUCGUGCCAACGGCAUAGCUGGGUAGCUAUGUGUGGACGGGAUAAGUGCUGAAAGCAUCUAAGCAUGAAGCCCCCUCAAGAUGAGAUUUCCCAACUUCGGUUAUAAGAUCCCUCAAAGAUGAUGAGGUUAAUAGGUUCGAGGUGGAAGCAUGGUGACAUGUGGAGCUGACGAAUACUAAUCGAUCGAAGACUUAAUCAA